rnacentral:piRNA from 1 species
UAGAGCAGAGAUGGUACUUGCAUGAACGA